UGGCCAUCUGUGUUGUUUCCAGUUUUUGGCUCUUAUGAAUAAAACUGCUUUAAGUAUUCAUGUACGGGUUUUUUGUGAACAUGCUUUGCUACCCCUGUGGGACGUAUGCCCACAUAUGCAAUUGCUGGGUCAUAUGGUAGCUGUGUGUGUGUGGUCUUCUAGUCCACAAACCAGGUAUAAAUUCAGCCUGAGAUUCCAGAAUAUUCUGUGUAUUGACCACCACAGCAAGAAGAAAAAGUCCAUGUAGGACUGAAAUGUCCUGCUCCCUGCCUGCCCAUCUUCGACCUCAGCCCUCCUCCUCCAAAGCAGUCCCUCAGAACCCCUCCUGGUUUCAGUCUGGAUCCCACCACAUGUUGAAUGGCACCCUCUCAAUCUGGGACAGCGUCCGUUGAUUUUCUCCUGUGAUAAAUGAGUGCCUGGAGUAGGGAUGGCACAGAAGAACUAUUCAGCACAUGAAGCAGUGAAUGAAAAGACAAAAGGGCAAGAAAAGGAGAGAACAGUGGAGAAAAAAGAUUUUAAUUAAAUACAUGUGGG
rnacentral:lncRNA from 10 species